CUUUCCUUCGGGACAGAGGAGACAGGUGGUGCAUGGUUGUCGUCAGCUCGUGUCGUGAGAUGUUGGGUUAAGUCCCGCAACGAGCGCAACCCUUAUGCUUAGUUGCCAGCAGGUCAAGCUGGGCACUCUAAGCAGACUGCCGGUGACAAACCGGAGGAAGGUGGGGAUGACGUCAAAUCAUCAUGCCCCUUAUGACCUGGGCUACACACGUACUACAAUGGCCGGUACAACGGGAAGCGAAGCCGCGAGGUGGAGCCAAUCCUAGAAAAGCCGGUCUCAGUUCGGAUUGUAGGCUGCAACUCGCCUACAUGAAGUCGGAAUUGCUAGUAAUCGCGGAUCAGCAUGCCGCGGUGAAUACGUUCCCGGGUCUUGUACACACCGCCCGUCACACCACGAGAGUUUACAACACCCGAAGUCGGUGAGGUAACCGCAAGGAGCCAGCCGCCGAAGGUGGGGUAGAUGAUUGGGGUGAAGUCGUAACAAGGUAGCCGUAUCGGAAGGUGCGGCUGGAUCACCUCCUUUCUAUGGAGA
rnacentral:rRNA from 1 species